UACAGAGGGUGCGAGCGUUAAUCGGAAUUACUGGGCGUAAAGGGCGCGUAGGCGGUCUAUCAAGUGAGAUGUGAAAUCCCCGGGCUUAACCUGGGAACUGCAUCUUAAACUGAUAGGCUGGAGUACUGUAGAGGAUAGUGGAAUUUCCGGUGUAGCGGUGAAAUGCGUAGAGAUCGGAAGGAACAUCAGUGGCGAAGGCGACUGGUCUGGACAGAUAC
rnacentral:rRNA from 1 species